rnacentral:rRNA from 1 species
UACGUAGGGUGCAAGCGUUAAUCGGAAUUACUGGGCGUAAAGCGUGCGCAGGCGGUUGUGCAAGACAGAUGUGAAAUCCCCGGGCUCAACCUGGGAACUGCAUUUGUGACUGCAUAGCUAGAGUACGGUAGAGGGGGGAUGGAAUUCCGCGUGUAGCAGUGAAAUGCGUAGAUAUGCGGAGGAACACCGAUGGCGAAGGCAAUCCCCUGGACCUGUACUGACGCUCAUGCACGAAAGCGUGGGGAGCAAACAGG